rnacentral:pre_miRNA from 1 species
UGUGGGAUAGCUGGGUCAAAUGGUGGUUCCAUUCCUAAUUUUCUGAGGACUUUCCAUACUGCUUUCCAGUGUGGUUAUACCAAUUUGCAGUUCCACCAGCUAU